rnacentral:rRNA from 1 species
UACGUAGGGUGCGAGCGUUAAUCGGAAUUACUGGGCGUAAAGCGUGCGCAGGCGGUUUUGUAAGCCCGUUGUGAAAGCCCCGGGCUUAACCUGGGAACUGCAUUUGGGACUGCAAGGCUUGAGUACGGCAGAGGGGGGUAGAAUUCCUGGUGUAGCAGUGAAAUGCGUAGAUAUCAGGAGGAAUACCGAUGGCGAAGGCAGCCCCCUGGGUCGAUACUGACGCUCAUGCACGAAAGCGUGGGGAGCAAACAGG